CAGUCUUUGAGAUUGGAAGUGCGAGGUCAUGAACGCCCUUUGUUAGCACUGCUGGUGGAAAAAAGCAGCAGAAUGGAAACAAGUCCAAGGCCACUUCUUGCAGUGGUCCGAGAAGGGUUUUCAUUUGCAACAAAGCAUAAUCAAGGUACGCCUUGAUUGCACACUCAUUGCGCUUCUCUCUGCCUGCGCACACUGUGUGCAUGGAAAACUGCAUCUGCUUCGUAUUUGUGAUAUUGUCGUAGCUGGAUGACCAUGACUGUGGUUUCGGAACAAGGACAAGCAUUAACAAGGAAUCACAUGAAGGAAUUGAGCCCAGUAUAAACCAGGAUGAAAAUAAAGAGGUGGUUAAUCUCCAAACAACCCAUGUAGACUUGCAGUAUUUAUAACUAAAGGAGGCUCUUGAUUAAAGUAAUAAUAAUAACAACUUAGAGUCAAGGGAAAAAUGGACAAGUAGUUGGAAAAUAAGUGCAAGGAGGGCUAGGAAGCAGACAGGAGCCACGUCCAGCUGAGAAAAUUCUCUGCUAAAAAUAAUUGGAAGCAAGGCAAGCACUUGCAAGAAGUUCCACAUGUGCCUUCUCUGCUGUUACCCAGCAUCUGUUCACAGCCACUUGUGAGAUGAAAAUUGGGCCAGCUGCACCUCUGGUCCAGCCCAGCACAGUCACUGUAGGGAAUGUCUCAGUGUGUCUCAAAGAAUUCCCCUGACCAAUGGGUGGUGAGUGAAGGAAAACUGGGCCAAGGAGGGAAGACUGGGCCGCUGGUUAACUUCCUUAGUACCAGAAGUCUGGCAAAGGAAAGCAGAGAAACUACCAGGUAUUGUCCAGCCUGCCCUCCUCUUUUCAUGCCAUUUACAAUGGUAUUUCCCAUUCUUGGCACUGCAUAGAUUACAUUCAUUGCUGUUCAUUUGCUGCUCUGAGCUUGAACAAUUUAAGUUGUCUGCUGGAAACUGGUUAGAAGAAUCAGUGCUUGUGUGAUUCAAAGGGCUGAAUGCAUCUGGCCAGGCUAAUUUUAGUCUUGUGAUAAACCACAGGAAAAGUCAGCAAGUUUUCACAGAAAAAAAAUAAAAAAAGAAAGAAAAAAAAAGGCA
rnacentral:lncRNA from 1 species